UACGUAGGAUGCAAGCGCUGUCCGGAUUUAUUGGGUUUAAAGGGUGCGUAGGCGUCCUAUUAAGUUAGUGGUGAAAACGUUCGGCUUAACCGGAUACCCGCCAUUGAUACUGAUAGACUUGAGUGCGACAGAGGGUGUUGGAAUGUGUGGUGUAGCGGUGAAAUGCUUAGAUAUCACGCAGAACACCAAUUGCGAAGGCAGAUGCCUAUGUCGUAACUGACGCUGAGGCACGAAAGCGUGGGUCUCUCUCAGG
rnacentral:rRNA from 1 species